AUUUACAAGGUUAUACAGAAUGGCAAAAUCACAAGAGCACUUCAACAUCAUAGGGAACUCGCAUUCCCUAUUAAAGAACAAGUUUCUUCAGGGUUUCGAGGGGGUAGUUAUGUUUGGGAUGCUAUAAAUGUCCUACACGAACUACAGAAGUCGAAAAUUGGAAUACUCCUAACUUUGGGGAACGAUAUGCGCCGCAGCAAAGGUA